CUUCUAACAACGGAUGUCUUGGCUCUCGCAUCGAUGAAGAACGCAGCGAAAUGCGAUACGUAAUGUGAAUUGCAGAAUUCGUGAAUCAUCGAGUUUUUGAACGCAUAUUGCACUUGCCAGUUUACUGGUGAGUAUGUCUUCUUGAGCGUCUC
rnacentral:rRNA from 1 species